UUUUUUUUCUAAAAAUCUUUCUUUCUAAAGUCUUUCUAAAAAAACUUGGAAACGGAAACUAAAAGGGAGGUCGCGCCGUGCGGCUUAGUUCAGCUGCUGAUUCAGACGCUUCCUGCCUGACCUUCGUUUGACCUCCCAGGGUCUCAAUUCUCUCAGGCGGGAAAUGGAAGACUUGGCAAAGAUGGCUUCUAAGAACCUAUAAUCUGGGAGCCUACGGACUUGUCUCCAGGACCCUCUCUGGCUGUCAGUCUGUCCUCCUGUUUCGGGCUACCAUGGCUGUAGUCUCCUGGUGCCCACUAGUGCCAGGAGAUAACGGAUGUGGGAGCGAAGGAAAGUUACAAGGCAACUGUUAAGAGUUGGGGCACUAAUGUUCUCUGGAUGCAGGAUGAACGCCUUGAAGAGGAACGAGGAAUGAGCAGAUCACUUUUUCUCCAGCCAGAAAUUUUGCCAUUUCUAAAAUAGCUUGAAGAAUUUUUCCUAACCCUUAGUAGGGUUGGUUCAAAAAUAAAAGGCAAUAAUUAGGCGUUCUGGAGUAAGAAGACUCGGUUCAACUGCUGCCUUUGGCUCAUAAUUGGCAUUCUAAGUCAUGGCAAAUUAUUUAACCUGUCAGUGUACCCAGAAAUUCUCGUAGGUUGUGGAGGUGUGCCAACCUGCGUUGGUAGAGGAAGCUUCCUUAUUCAACAUGCUUAGAAAAUCAAUUAUCUAGCCUGCACUCUGAACUUCUCUACUAUGCAGGAAAAGACUUUUUCCUGGAAGAUCACACUAGCCUGAUAAUUCAUACCUUGGAAGUAUCCUGACCCUUGUGACAGCUGUCUUGGAUUGGAUGACUCCUGUUGGAAUGUUCAUCUAAGGAGAAGAUGCAGCCAGCUAUGUCUUCAUUUCUUACCAGAGUGCACUCUAGACUUCUUUUCCAUAGCCAAACACUGGAUACUUUUACCUACUCUGCUCCUUACCCCACUUUACUUUUAUGUAUUAUCUUCUUCCAUUAAAAUGUAAGCUCUGUGAGGGCAAGAACUGUCCCUUUUUUUGCUUAUAGUUUUGUUCCUGGUACUUAAACCAUACCUGAAAUACAGGCAAUGCUUUAUCAUUGAACAGCUAUCUUGCUAGGUCAGAGUACAGGAAAAAACUAUGACCUCUUUAUUCUUAGAAGCUUUGCCUCCCUCAAUAUAGUCCAAGACUGCAUUAACUCUUUUGGUUGCCACAUUAUACUGCUGACUCAUACUAAGCUUCCAGUUCAUCAUAGCCUGCCUCUCCUAUUGUGUUCAGUUGGGUUCUGUACCUGACAUUGAACCCAUAACCAGAUAGAGGCAGUUGGAAAAGGAUCCUUAUCAUAUUUUUACAUUCACAA